UACAGAGGUCUCAAGCGUUGUUCGGAUUCACUGGGCGUAAAGGGUGCGUAGGCGGUCGGGUAAGUCUGAUGUGAAAUCUCACAGCUUAACUGUGAAACUGCAUUGGAUACUAUCCGGCUCGAGGAAUGGAGGGGAGACUGGAAUACUUGGUGUAGCAGUGAAAUGCGUAGAUAUCAAGUGGAACACCAGUGGCGAAGGCGAGUCUCUGGACAUUUCCUGACGCUGAGGCACGAAAGCCAGGGGGGCAAACGGG
rnacentral:rRNA from 1 species